rnacentral:rRNA from 1 species
UUGCCUACGGGGCGCAGCAGUGGGGAAUAUUGCACAAUGGGGGGAACCCUGAUGCAGCGACGCCGCGUGGGUGAGGAAGUACUUCGGUAUGUAAAGCCCUCUCAGCAGGGAAGAAAAUGACGGUACCUGACUAAGAAGCCCCGGCUAACUACGUGCCAGCAGCCGCGGUAAUACGUAGGGGGCAAGCGUUAUCCGGAUUUACUGGGUGUAAAGGGAGCGUAGACGGCAUAGCAAGUCUGAAGUGAAAGCCCAAGGCUCAACCAUGGGACUGCUUUGGAAACUGUUAAGCUA